GCCUGGGUGGUUCAGUUGGUUGAGCGUCAGACUUCAGCUCAGGUCAUGAUCUCACAAUCUGUGGGUUCAAGCCCUGCAUCAGGCU
rnacentral:tRNA from 1 species